GAUGAACGCUGGCGGCGUGCCUAAUACAUGCAAGCCGAGCGAACGGACGAGAAGCUUGCUUCUCUGAUGUUAGCGGCGGACGGGUGAGUAACACGUGGAUAACCUACCUAUAAGACUGGGAUAACUUCGGGAAACCGUAGCUAAUACCGGAUAAUAUUUUGAACCGCAUGGUUCAAAAGUGAAAGACGGUCUUGCUGUCACUUAAAGAUGGAUCCGCGCUGCAUUAGCUAGUUGGUAAGGUAACGGCUUACCAAGGCAACGAUGCAUAGCCGACCUGAGAGGGUGAUCGGCCACACUGGAACUGAGACACGGUCCAGACUCCUACGGGAGGCAGCAGUAGGGAAUCUUCCGCAAUGGGCGAAAGCCUGACGGAGCAACGCCGCGUGAGUGAUGAAGGUCUUCGGAUCGUAAAACUCUGUUAUUAGGGAAGAACAUAUGUGUAAGUAACUGUGCACAUCUUGACGGUACCUAAUCAGAAAGCCACGGCUAACUACGUG
rnacentral:rRNA from 1 species